CUAGUACUCCCUUCGUCCGAAAAUACUUGUCAUCAAAAUGGAUAAAAUGGAAUGUAUCUAGACAUAUUUUAGUUCUAGAUACAUCUCUUUUUAUCCAUUUUGAUGACAAGUAUUUUCGGACGGAGGGAGUAUCUG
rfam:Triticum aestivum genome assembly, contig: Triticum_aestivum_CS42_TGACv1_scaffold_222164_3B